CCUACGGGUGGCAGCAGUGGGGAAUAUUGGACAAUGGGCGAAAGCCUGAUCCAGCCAUGCCGCGUGUGUGAAGAAGGCCUUCGGGUUGUAAAGCACUUUCAGUGGGGAAGAAAGCCUUGGGGCUAAUACCCUCGAGGAAGGACAUCACCCACAGAAGAAGCACCGGCUAACUCCGUGCCAGCAGCCGCGGUAAUACGGAGGGUGCGAGCGUUAAUCGGAAUUACUGGGCGUAAAGCGCGCGUAGGCGGUCUGAUAAGCCGGUUGUGAAAGCCCCGGGCUCAACCUGGGAACGGCAUCCGGAACUGUCAGGCUAGAGUGCAGGAGAGGAAGGUAGAAUUCCCGGUGUAGCGGUGAAAUGCGUAGAGAUCGGGAGGAAUACCAGUGGCGAAGGCGGCCUUCUGGACUGACACUGACGCGGAGGUGCGAAAGCGUGGGUAGCAAACAGGAUUAGAUACCCGAGUAGUC
rnacentral:rRNA from 1 species